CUCUUGGCAAACUCACAUUUACUUACAGACAUGCAUACAUACAGAAGCAGGUAUGGACACACACAGGGUCCAAAAAUGUACAAACACGUGCAACAGGCACACAUAUACAGCAUGAAUAAUUAAAUAGUCAAUAAAUAAAAGACUGAUCUGUAACUUGGAGAUUGAUUUAGAUAAACACAGGCAGUCAGUCAUUGUUUCAGAAUGCCUUUGCUGUAGAGAGAUCACUCAGCCUGCGUUUUGCAGGCCCUGCACUCCUUGGUCUUCUCUGCUGUCGUGGCUGCUCUGCUCUCCCUGCCCACCCAAUGCAUGGCUCAGUAAGGCUCAGCCAGAAGCAGAAGUGCAGCAAUAGACACACACAGAAAAUAUGACAUUAUCACUGCUUCCGCUCCCAGCCAACUCCUAGACUCACAGAUGCAGGCCCAGACGGGCAACGGGCCAGCAGGGGAGAUACUUUCAUCUACCUUUCUGUGGUCCCUCUCAGAUCAGUGGGGAGAUCUCCAUCACCAGCCUCUUAGCACUGCCAGCGCCCCCCCAUUCCCACAACAUGCUUGUCCUGCGUGCAUCGCCGAAAGCCCACCCGUGCAGGAGAUAAGCUCGAACGCCUGUCCUGCACCCUGCUAGGUGUGGACGCCCUCCUGUCGGCAUCCUAGCUCCAGUCCCUCGUCCUCACUGCCCACUGCUGGCGUCCCCGACCUGGGAGGUGACCCUGGGGACCUUUGCGGCCCGAACGUAAUGACCUCGCUCCCAGGUGUCCUCAAACUGCGGGCGGCCGUCCGGCAACAUUGGGCGCAAGCUACUGAACUCCCAGGCUUCCCGUCUGCCUCCACAGCCUUCUUUCUCCAUAGCCUCCAGCCUGGCUGGCAGUGAUGGGCUCUCCCUCCUACGCGGUGAUCGGGUCCUCCAAGCCACUCGUCCAGGCCGUCGCAGUGGAUCCUGCAGCAGUAGGCCCAGAUGGGACCAGGGCCUCUCCUAACCGUUCCUGGAGCCAGGCGACCCAUCUGCUGGGCCGCAGCAUGCACACCAGCCAGGCAAUCCCCCAUUCUUCAAGACAGCAGCACCUGAAAGACAGAAAAUUCAAGACACCACACAGACCUGCCACAAAACAGGUAAGUGAGAAUUAAUUAAGAUGGCCCUUGAUCUAAAAUAACCGCCCAUUCCACUUAGCUGUAUUUCUCCAUGGGCUACAUUCUCCACACAUUUUCUACCCCAUCUUCACUUACACAUGUGUAUUUUCUCACACUGUCUUAUGUACAUUCGCACAAUAAAUUUACAUUUACACACUGGAACAAACAAAACACCUUAACUUGGAUCAUAAAUAGGGACAAGUGAGGGAUCUCCAGCCAAUCCAACUAAUCCAAAAACCAACUAGGACACACAGCCCCACAUUUGAGGACAAAGUAAAGUACCCUAGCACUAUUUUAAAGAUGUGAAUGGCACUGCAAAGC